rnacentral:rRNA from 1 species
CCCGUUAUCCGGGUUGCGGACAGUGUCUGGUGGGUAGUUUGACUGGGGCGGUCUCCUCCUAAAGAGUAACGGAGGAGCACGAAGGUUGGCUAAUCCUGGUCGGACAUCAGGAGGUUAGUGCAAUGGCAUAAGCCAGCUUGACUGCGAGCGUGACGGCGCGAGCAGGUGCGAAAGCAGGUCAUAGUGAUCCGGUGGUUCUGAAUGGAAGGGCCAUCGCUCAACGGAUAAAAGGUACUCCGGGGAUAACAGGCUGAUACCGCCCAAGAGUUCAUAUCGACGGCGGUGUUUGGCACCUCGAUGUCGGCUCAUCACAUCCUGGGGCUGAAGUAGGUCCCAAGGGUAUGGCUGUUCGCCAUUUAAAGUGGUACGCGAGCUGGGUUUAGAACGUCGUGAGACAGUUCGGUCCCUAUCUGCCGUGG